rnacentral:rRNA from 1 species
AGUGAACGCUGGCGGUAGGCUUAACACAUGCAAGUCGAGCGGCAGCACAGUAAAAGCUUGCUCUUACGGGUGGCGAGUGGCGGACGGGUGAGGAAUACGUAGGAAUCUACUUUUUGGUGGGGGAUAAAGCAGGGAAAAUUACGCUAAUACCGCAAACGCACUACGGGUGAAAGCAGGAGAACUUCGGACCUUUCGCGCUUGAAGGAGCCGAUGUCGGAUUCGUUAGUUGGUGGGGUAAAGGCCCACCAAGGCAAGGAUCCGUAGCUGGUGGGAGAGGAUGGUCAGCCACCCUAGAACUGAAACACGGUCCAGACUCCUCUGGGAGGCAGGAGUGGGGAAUAUUGGACAGUGGGCGCAAGCAUGAUCCAACCAUGCCGCGUGGGUUGAGAGAGCCUUCGGGUCGUAAAGCCCUUUUGUUUGGAAAGAAAAGCAGCAGGUUAAUACCCCGCUGUUCUGACGGUACCCAAAGAAUAAGCACCGGCUAACUUCGUG